rnacentral:rRNA from 1 species
GGUAGCAUAAUCAUUAGUUCUUUAAUUGGGAACUCGUAUGAAUGGCUUGACGAAAGAAAUACUGUCUUUAUUGUAAAAGUUGAACUUAACCUUUAAGUGAAAAGGCUUAAAUAGCUUAGGGGGACGAUAAGACCCUGUAAAACUUUAUAUUAGUUCUAAAUAUUACUCAAUUAUUCUAUAACAGUCUCAUUUAGAUAUGAUAUUUUGUUGGGGCGACAUAAGUAUAAUUAAUUGUAACUACUUAAAAUACUAACCAUCAGUGGAUGAAAUAAAAAGAUCCUUAAUAAAGAUUAGAAAAACAAGUUACUUCAGGGAUAACAGCGUUAUUUCUAUAGAGAGUCCAUAUCGAAAUAGAAGUUUACGACCUCGAUGUUGAAUUAAAAUGUCUUUAUGGUGCAGCCGCUAUAUAAGAAGGUCUGUUCGACCUUUAAAAUUUU